rnacentral:rRNA from 1 species
AUUGAACGCUGGCGGCAGGCCUAACACAUGCAAGUCGAACGGGUGGCGGACGGGUGAGGAAUGUCUGGGAAACUGCCUGAUGGAGGGGGAUAACUACUGGAAACGGUAGCUAAUCCCGCAUACCAUUGGAUGUGCCCAGAUGGGAUUGGCUGGUAGGGGGGGUAAAGGCUCACCUAGGCGCCGAGCCCUAGCUGGUCUGAGAGGAGGACCAGCCACACUGGAACUGAGACACGGGCCAGACUCCGACGGGAGGCAGCGGUGGGGAAUAUUGCACAAGGGGCGCAAGCCUGUUUCAGCCAUGCCGCGUGUAUGAAGAAGGCCUUCGGGUUGUAAAGUACUUUCAGCGGGGAGGCGUUACCCGCAGAAGAAGCACCGGCUAACUCCGUGCCAGCAGCCGCGGUAAUAC